rnacentral:rRNA from 1 species
GUGGGGAAUAUUGGACAAUGGGCGAAAGCCUGAUCCAGCCAUGCCGCGUGUGUGAAGAAGGUCUUCGGAUUGUAAAGCACUUUAAGUUGGGAGGAAGGGCAGUAAGUUAAUACCUUGCUGUUUUGACGUUACCGACAGAAUAAGCACCGGCUAACUUCGUGCCAGCAGCCGCGGUAAUACGAAGGGUGCAAGCGUUAAUCGGAAUUAGUGGGCGUAAAGCGCGCGUAGGUGGUGUUGUAAGUUGGAGGUGAAAUCCCCGGGCUCAACCUGGGAACUGCCUCCAAAACUGCAUGACUAGAGUACGGUAGAGGGUAGUGGAAUUUCCUGUGUAGCGGUGAAAUGCGUAGAUAUAGGAAGGAACACCAGUGGCGAAGGCGACUACCUGGACUGAUACUGACACUGAGGUGCGAAAGCGUGGGGAGCAAACAGGAUUAGAAACCCGAGUAGUCC